UACAUGAUUUUCUGUCUCAUCUCUCAAAUUAAACUCACCCAAUCCAUUUAACUGCUCAAAUAUAAUCAAAAUGUCUCAGCUCUCUCCGCUAAUGGCAACUCAGCCUCUUACUAUCACACCUCACGUCGCCGCUCUAUCACCUCCUCCAUGCGUCACCACAACCACCGCCAGAGCCGUCACAGUUGUCCCACUUCCGGCACUUGCCGGUGAGCUCUUGAUUCUCCCACUCCGGUUUAGUAGACGACGUUUCAAGAUGUUAAAUCCGAGUGUGUUGUUUAUGAGAGCAUCCUCUUUGGAAAGAACGGUCAAGUUACAGAUUUUGACAGCCAAAUUUCUACAGACAAGAUAGCUAAGACGUCAUGCAACUUUCCUGAUUGGAGAGCAAGGUGUUUUUCUGUGGAAAUUUUCGAAUUUUUGAAGAUGAAUCAAUUGUAUCAUCGGAAGAACGCCUUUGGCGCGCGUGAGGAGACGCACGGUUUUGAAUUCUCUGAUCAGGGGGAGUCUGUUGUUUGUCCGAAGCCACGACGAUCAUCCAGUUGGGGUGUCUGAUUCAAACGCCAGGGCAGAGCUUCUAGACAUCAUUCUCAUGAAGGUAAUAGGUGAGGCUGAUUUUCAGCGUAAUAGGGAUUUGGAGAAGUUUUCGUGUAGAAGAAGACCUGGGCAUGUUCGAUCCCUUUCUGUGUAGAAGAAGAUUCAGGCAUGUUCAAUCCCAUAAGUUCUCAUCUUUCUUUGUUGAAUGGUUGUAUUAUGAGUUCAAGAUACCCUAAUUCAUAAUUCUUUAUAUAUAGUGGUUUAAAUUAUAUUUAUAAUGGUAAAAGUUUUAACCAUGAAUCUUUUCUUAUCCAACAGUGACAAUUGCAGCAUGUCGAUUGUUAAUUUCCACGGAAGCUGCUCCAAUCCUGAUUGUUCUUAUGAUCUCUGCCUGACUUGCUGUGGAGAAAUAAGAAAAGGUUUUCAACAGGGAUGUAUUGAAGAAGAGCUUUCUGAAUAGCAGUUAGCUGAAAAAGCAAAUGGUCAGGUUACAGAUUUUGACAGCCAAAUUUCUGCAGACAAGAUCGCUAAGACGUCAUGCAACUUUCCUGAUUGGAGAGAAGAGGGUCCUCCCAAAGCACAUGGAGGUUGUGGUACGUAGAUACUUGCACUAAGACACAUCUUUGACGCUAAUUGGAUUGAAAAACUGAUUAAGACUGCAGAGGACCUGACUAUCAAUUAUAAGCCGCUGGAUUUUUUUCUCAAGGAUGUUUUUUGUGCAAUCAUGUAUAUUCUGCUGAAAAUGGAGUAAAAACUUUUGGAGUUAGGCAGGCAGCUCAUAGGGACAACAGUCAGGACAAUUAUCUCUACAGCCCAACUACUACUCAAUUGGGAAACAAUGAAAUCGAGCAUUUUCAAAUGCAUUGGAUGAGAGGUGAACCUAUGAUAGUUACAAAUGUGGUUGAAAAGACUUCUGGUCUUAGUUGGGACCUAAUGGUCAUGUGGAGGGCUUUUGGAGGGACACAAAAGAUUUUAAAAGAGGAGGCUCAUAAGGUUAAAACUGUUGAUUGUUUUGAUUGGUGUGAGGUAUGUGUCCACGUUUUUAUAUCCCAGAGUUGCAGUACACCUUUCUGUAGUUGCUGAUAUGUUCCUCUAGAGGCAUACCUCCUUACUGGCCCAGUUCCAUUACCAGGCCAGUAUUUUACUCGGUUCAUGUAUUAUUACUUUUUACUUUUUCCUUUUUAAUGAUAAUUGGUUUUGUAAGCUUUAAAUCU